GAUGAACGCUGGCGGCGUGCUUAACACAUGCAAGUCGAACGGGAAACCUUUUAUUGAAGCUUCGGCAGAUUUAGCUGGUUUCUAGUGGCGGACGGGUGAGUAACGCGUGGGUAACCUGCCCUAUACAGGGGGAUAACAACCAGAAAUGGUUGCUAAUACCGCAUAAGCGCACAGGGCCGCAUGGUCCGGUGUGAAAAACUCCGGUGGUAUAGGAUGGACCCGCGUUGGAUUAGCCAGUUGGCAGGGUAACGGCCUACCAAAGCGACGAUCCAUAGCCGGCCGGAGAGGGUGAACGGCCACAUUGGGACUGAGACACGGCCCAGACUCCUACGGGAGGCAGCAGUGGGGAAUAUUGCACAAUGGGGGAAACCCUGAUGCAGCGACGCCGCGUGAAGGAAGAAGUAUCUCGGUAUGUAAACUUCUAUCAGCAGGGAAGAUAGUGACGGUACCUGACUAAGAAGCCCCGGCUAACUACGUG
rnacentral:rRNA from 1 species